UCCCUGGUGGUCCAGUGGGUAGGACUUGGUGCUUUCACCACCAUGGUUCCAGGUUCAAUCUCUGGUCAGGGAA